UAAAAUGAAAGGUUAUACUUCUUGGGCC
rnacentral:piRNA from 1 species